rnacentral:rRNA from 1 species
GUGCCAGCCGCCGCGGUAACACCGGCAGCCCAAGUGGUAGCCACGAUUAUUGGGUCUAAAGCGUCCGUAGCCGGCCAGGUAAGUUCUUUGGGAAAUUUAACCGCUCAACGGUUAAGCUUUCAGGGAAUACUGCUUGGCUUGGGACCGGGAGAGGUCAGAGGUACUUCAAGGGUAGGGGUGAAAUCCGUUAAUCCUUGAGGGACCACCAGUAGCGAAGGCGUCUGACCAGACCGGGUCCGACGGUGAGGGACGAAGGCUAGGGUCGCGAACCGGAUUAGAUACCCGGGUAGUCCUAGCUGUAAACGAUGCGGGCCAGGUGUUGGCAUUACUGCGAGUGAUGUCAGUGCCGAAGGGAAGCCGUUAAGCCCGCCAUCUGGGGAGUACGGUCGCAAGGCUGAAACUAAAGGAAUGGCGGGGAGCACCACAACG